rnacentral:rRNA from 1 species
UUAUAAAGCUUUUUAACAAUUUUUAAACUUUUUCCAAUAUUGCUGGUGUGUUAAAUCAAGAGGAACAACACUAAUCCAUUCCGAACUUAGUAGUUAAACUCU